ACGACUACAUAUCAGGCAUAUCAAUAAGCGGAGGAAAAGAAACUAACAAGGAUUCCCCUAGUAACGGCGAGUGAAGCGGGAAGAGCUCAAAUUUGAAAUCUUAAAGGGUUUUCCCUUGACGGAAUUGUAGUUUAAAGAAGUGUUUUUCUGUUGGAAGUUUUCGGUAAAAAGUUCUUUGGAAUAGGACAUCAUAGAGGGUGAGAAUCCCGUAUUUGACCAGUUACUUUUCCAGCUGUGUGAUACACUUUCAAAGAGUCGGAUUGUUUUGGGAAUGCAGUCCAAAAAUGGGUGGUAAAUUUCAUCUAAAGCUAAAUAUUGGCGAGAGACCGAUAGCGAACAAGUACCGUGAGGGAAAGAUGAAAAGAACUUUGAAAAAGAGAGUUAAAACAGUACGUGAAAAUUGUCAAAAGGGAAGCGUUUUGACACCAGUGUUGUUUUUCUCGAAAAAUCAAUUAAAAAGAGUUGGAUUUUUGUGUUGUAUUGACCUUAACAGCUUGCUUCACUCUUUUCCAGCUUUUUUUUAAUGCACUUUUCGUUUAACAAGUCAACAUCAGUUUUCUUUUGUUGUAAAAAGGGUCAUUGGAAGGUGGCUUUCUCUUCGGAGAAAGUGUUUUAUAGCCUUUGAUCUCUGCAAUCGGAGAGACUGAGGUCUCGCAGCGUAGAUCCUUCGGGGUUAGAUACAUUUGUGCUAAGCUACAGCUUUUUCAUAGACAACUUGUUGACUAUGUUUAGUCUUGUAACUUACCCGCUUAUGCUAUUUUACCUACGCUUAGGAUGUUGAGCGCAUGUCUCUCUCU
rnacentral:rRNA from 1 species